CCUACGGGAGGCAGCAGUGAGGAAUAUUGGUCAAUGGACGAGAGUCUGAACCAGCCAAGUAGCGUGAAGGAUGACUGCCCUAUGGGUUGUAAACUUCUUUUAUAAAGGAAUAAAACGAGGCACGUGUGCCUUUUUGCAUGUACUUUAUGAAUAAGGAUCGGCUAACUCCGUGCCAGCAGCCGCGGUAAUACGGAGGGUCCGAGCGUUAUCCGGAUUUAUUGGGUUUAAAGGGAGCGUAGAUGGGUUGUUAAGUCAGUUGUGAAAUUUUGCGGCUCAACCGUAAAAUUGCAAUUGAGACUGGCAGUCUUGAGUACAGUUGAGGUAGGCGGAAUUCGUGGUGUAGCGGUGAAAUGCUUAGAUAUCACGAAGAACCCCGAUUGCGAAGGCAGCUUACUAAACUGUGACUGACAUUGAUGCUCGAAAGUGUGGGUAUCAAACAGGAUUAGAUACCCCAGUAGUC
rnacentral:rRNA from 1 species